rnacentral:rRNA from 1 species
GGGGGAUUAAUUAAUAAUUUUAUUAAUUAAUAAAAGAAUUUUUUGUAUAAAAAUAUUUUAAUUGGGGGGUUAAAGUAUUUUUAAAAAAAAAAUUGAAAAUUUUAUAGUUUAUUUAGUAUUGUGAAAGAAUUUUGAAAUAAUUGAAAAUUAAUUUUUUUAAAAGUAAAUUUGAUUUAUUGUAUCUUGUGUAUCAGAGUUUAUUAAUAAUAAAUUAAUUAAAAAUAGUUUUCUCGAAUUUAAAAGAGUUAAUUAAUUAUAAAAGUUAUUGUGGUAUAAAUAUUUUUAAUAAUUAAUUUAGAAAUGAAAUGUUAUUCGUUUUUAAAUAUAUCUAGUUUUUACAGAAAAAAAUUUAAUUUUUAAUAAUUUUAAUAUUAAUAUUAAUUAAAAUUAAUAUUUAUAAAUUUUAUUAAAAUAAUUUAAGGGAUAAUCUUUAAAUUAAAUUUUUAUAAUUUAAAAUUAUAAUUAAAAAUUUUUAUAAUUUAUAUUGUUAAUAAAUUUUAGUUUAUUAUAAAUAAUUUUAAUAAAAUUAAAAUUUAAUUUUUAAUUUAAUUUUAUAUGUAAAAAUAAAUUUAAAUAAAAAAAAUUAAAAUAUAAUGAUAAAAUUAGUAAAAUAAAUUAAUUAUAAAUAAUUAAUAUUUAUUUAUUAAAGUAAUUAUAAAAAAGGAAUUCGGCAAAAAUUUAUAUUCACUUGUUUAUCAAAAACAUGUCUUCUUGUUAAUAAUUUAAAGUCUAAUCUGCCCACUGAUAAUAAUUAAAGGGCUGCAGUAAUUUGACUGUACAAAGGUAGCAUAAUCAUUAGUCUCUUAAUUGGUGACUUGUAUGAAAGAUUGGAUGAGAUAUAUACUGUCUCUUUUAUAAAUUAUUUGAAUUUAAUUUUUUAAUUAAAAAGUUAAAAUUUUUUAAAAAGACGAGAAGACCCUAUAGAGUUUUAUAAUUUAUUUUAUUAAAAUUUUUUUUUAUAUUAUAAUAAAAUUAAUUUAUUUUAUUGGGGUGAUAAAAAAAUUAAUUAAACUUUUUUUUUAAUUUAACAUUGAUAAUUGAAAUUUUUGAUCCAAUUUUAUUGAUUAUAAGAAAAAAUUACCUUAGGGAUAACAGCGUAAUUUUUUUUUUUAGUUCAAAUAAAAAAUAAAGUUUGCGACCUCGAUGUUGGAUUAAGAUAAAAUUUAAAUGUAGAAGUUUAAAAUUUUUGAUCUGUUCGAUCAUUAAAAUCUUACAUGAUCUGAGUUCAAACCGGUGUGAGCCAGGUUGGUUUCUAUCUUUUAAUAAAUAAAAUAUUUUAGUACGAAAGGAUUAAAUAUUUUAAUUAAAUUAAAAAAAAAAUAAUUGAAUUUUAAUAAUAAAAUAGUAAUUUAAAUUUUUAUAUAAAAUAAU